rnacentral:rRNA from 1 species
UACGUAGGUGGCAAGCGUUGUCCGGAUUUACUGGGCGUAAAGAGCGCGCAGGCGGUCGUCCAAGUCGCGUGUGAAAGCCCCCGGCUCAACUGGGGAGGGUCACGCGAUACUGAUCGACUCGAAGGCAGGAGAGGGUAGUGGAAUUCCCGGUGUAGUGGUGAAAUGCGUAGAUAUCGGAAGGAACACCAGUGGCGAAAGCGGCUUCCUGGUCCAGCACCGACGUUCAGGCACGAAAGCGUGGGGAGCAAACAGG